rnacentral:rRNA from 2 species
GCGAAUCGACGGGAGCUUGCUCCCUGAGAUUAGCGGCGGACGGGUGAGUAACACGUGGGCAACCUGCCUAUAAGACUGGGAUAACUUCGGGAAACCGGAGCUAAUACCGGAUACGUUCUUUUCUCGCAUGAGAGAAGAUGGAAAGACGGUUUACGCUGUCACUUAUAGAUGGGCCCGCGGCGCAUUAGCUAGUUGGUGAGGUAAUGGCUCACCAAGGCGACGAUGCGUAGCCGACCUGAGAGGGUGAUCGGCCACACUGGGACUGAGACACGGCCCAGACUCCUACGGGAGGCAGCAGUAGGGAAUCUUCCGCAAUGGACGAAAGUCUGACGGAGCAACGCCGCGUGAACGAAGAAGGCCUUCGGGUCGUAAAGUUCUGUUGUUAGGGAAGAACAAGUACCAGAGUAACUGCUGGUACCUUGACGGUACCUAACCAGAAAGCCACGGCUAACUACGUGCCAGCAGCCGCGGUAAUACGUAGGUGGCAAGCGUUGUCCGGAAUUAUUGGGCGUAAAGCGCGCGCAGGUGGUUCCUUAAGUCUGAUGUGAAAGCCCACGGCUCAACCGUGGAGGGUCAUUGGAAACUGGGGAACUUGAGUGCAGAAGAGGAAAGUGGAAUUCCAAGUGUAGCGGUGAAAUGCGUAGAGAUUUGGAGGAACACCAGUGGCGAAGGCGACUUUCUGGUCUGUAACUGACACUG